GUCUUGGCUUCUUGCUUGGAUGGCAUGAUGAGCUCGCUGGGUAACUUCAUGAACUUGACUUUGUGAACACUUGGAGGACAGCAAGGCAAUCGGGAAGGACCAUCCCCAUAACUUCCAGGAAAGUCCUUUCAGUUGUUGGGUGUAGAGUACAUUGGCAUUCAGCUCCCACUGUGAAGCAUGUCCAUUGAGCAGUAACAUGAAUUCUGCCCGGGUAUGUGAGAAUGUCAUGUGGCCUUAUCCAAUAAGCUAAGAGGAUUAUGAGAAUGGAAUGUCUUGCAAUGAAGCAAGUUAUUGUUUUUCCUGCUGUUGUAACUGGUGAGGUAUGAAGGUGUUUGCAUGAGUGACUGCGGUGAGGCCACCUUCUCGCCAAGUCAUCUCCUUUGGAGUCUUGUUCUUUUUUGACAUCUUUGAAGAAGUUGGGAUUCAGCGUCAAAGUGGUACAAAAAUUCAGGAUGUCAAGUCACUACCUAUGAUCAACAUGAGAAGACUUCUCUGUAUGAUUCCAUGAAGAAACUAUUCAAAAUUUGGAGACUGGUAAUUCUUUCAACUCACUCUGUGCUGAAUGGAAAGACCUUCCCUCCCUAGGAGUAUAACUAUGAGUUUAUAAAAUUGCCCUUCUGUCUGAAAAGUCAAAUUCUUCACAAAACCAUUCUUGCCAGGAGAGCUUACACAGACAAUGUGCUUACUUAGGGCCAUAAGCUGUCUAGGAGAAGAGGCACUACUCUCUAAGCCAUGAGACACCCCUGAAAUUCCAAAACAGAGCCAGAAUGGGAAAAACCAACCUAUUAUAAAAACAUCCAAGGCAAGAUGGAUAUGCCCAUGAAGACUAGGAUACCCAAAGAAGAGUCAAUUUGGACAAUCACCAGAGAAGUUUGGUCCAAACAUCAAGCCAUGACACCUGUUCUCUGAAAAAAGGAAGAUGGUUGUCACAGGUUAAAAUCUUGCUUCUACAGGACACAGUUCUCUUGUGGAGAUUACCAGAAGAGCUAGGAGAGCAUUAGUGACUGUCUUAGAGCAAUUGCUUCUUUAUGGCCUUUCUUGCCUGAUCUUGGGAGACCAGAGGACUCAUCCCAUGAAAUGUACAAUGGAUAUAGGCAAGAGGGGUUAGGGUGAAUAUGAACUCUAUCUCUUUUUGAAAUAUACCUGGUCACUAAGCACUGGGUUGUCUUGUAUGGCUAGGGUCAUGCACUUAAUCAGACAGACUUUAAAUCAUUUGAUAGGACAUGGAGUCAUUGUGAACAUGAGUGAGGAUGAUUGGACCUUUGGCUAGGCACCACUGUCUCUUUUUCUACUGAUAAUUGACAUGCUUGU